rnacentral:rRNA from 1 species
ACUCAAAGGAAUUGACGGGGGCCCGCACAAGCAGCGGAGCAUGUGGUUUAAUUCGAAGCAACGCGAAGAACCUUACCUAGACUUGACAUCUCCUGAAUUACUCGUAAUAGAGGAAGCCUUUCGGGGCAGGAAGACAGGUGGUGCAUGGUUGUCGUCAGCUCGUGUCGUGAGAUGUUGGGUUAAGUCCCGCAACGAGCGCAACCCUUAUCAUUAGUUGCUACCAUUAAGUUGAGCACUCUAGUGAGACUGCCGUGGUUAACGCGGAGGAAGGUGGGGAUGACGUCAAAUCAUCAUGCCCCUUAUGUCUAGGGCUACACACGUGCUACAAUGGGUGGUACAGAGAGACGCAAUACCGUGAGGAGGAGCAAAACUCUAAAACCACUCCCAGUUCGGAUUGAAGGCUGAAACUCGCCUUCAUGAAGCCGGAGUUGCUAGUAAUCGCGAAUCAGAAUGUCGCGGUGAAUACGUUCCCGGGCCUUGUACACACCGCCCGU